GGAUGUGAGAGUAAUCUGGCUGUGACAUCUGUCACCCCAUUGAUUGCCAGGUUGAUUUGACUGAUCUGGCUGGCUAGGCGGGUGUCCCCUUCCUCCCACACUGCUCCAUGUGCAUCCUUCCCAGAGCUGCAUGCUUAGUGGAAGAGGAUGAUGUCCCAGGUAUAGAAGAAGUGUCCUGAGGUACAUUUAAACAGCUUAAAAUAACAGUUGGGCUUGACUAACACUUUCUAUACAUUCCACAAAGUUUAUCUGUUAAAUCUGUUGUUAUGUUUCCUCCCCAACAUGCACUUAUUUUGGAAUAUUAGUGUAUAAUGUCAUCCUUAUAU
rnacentral:snRNA from 1 species